rnacentral:piRNA from 1 species
UGCUAACUGGUACUUACUCUGUUUGUAGC